rnacentral:lncRNA from 1 species
AACCUGAAAAGCCAAACUCAAAUAUGAGAAACAAGACCACUAGGACAAGCCUAGGGUCAAAAGGAGAUGAAAAAUCCAAAACAGGAAGUGAAAAUUAUCCAAAACCACAAUCAAACAAUUUAGAAACAAAUCCAAUUGGUCCCAUGCUCAUAUCAUUCAUUAUCAUCAUUUCAUAAAAGAAAAGGCACAAAACAUGCAAUUUGCAACCUCAAAGGACCAAACAGAAUGAUCUCAAUUAAAUCAAC